rnacentral:tRNA from 1 species
GCCACGUGGAGCGCCGCAGCCGGCGGGCCGCCGCCUCCCGGGCCGCGCUGGCCGCGGCGGAGGCCUGCUUCGCCGAGAUCCACGCCCGGUCGUGGCUC